rnacentral:sRNA from 1 species
GCUGGGCUUGGUGGCGCAUGCCUGUAAUCCCAGCAGCUCUGGAGGCUGAGGCAGGAGGAUCGAGAGUUCAAAGCCAACCUCAGCAACCCAGCAAGGCCAUAAACAACUCCGUGAGACCACGUCUCUA